CGCAAUGGGCGAAAGCCUGACGGAGCAAUACCGCGUGAGGGAUGAAAGCCUGUGGGUUGUAAACCUCUUUUCUCAAGGAAGAAGUUUUGACGGUACUUGAGGAAUAAGCAUCGGCUAACUCUGUGCCAGCAGCCGCGGUAAUACAGGGGAUGCAAGCGUUAUCCGGAAUUAUUGGGCGUAAAGCGUCCUGAGGUGGCUUACCCAGUCGACUGUGAAAGCUCAAGGCUUAACCUUGAAACGGCAGUCGAAACUUGUAAGCUUGAGUACGGUAGGGGCAGAGGGAAUUCCCGGAGGAGAGGUGAAAUUUGUAGAUAUCGGGAGGAAGGCCAAAGGCGAAAGCACUCUGCUGGGCCGAUUACUGACACUGGCAGACGAAAGCUA
rnacentral:rRNA from 1 species